rnacentral:rRNA from 1 species
AUGGCGGCGAGGGCGGUGACCAUGCUGGCCGCGGCGGCGCUCAUUGUCGUGGCGGCGGUCCUGGCCGGCGGCGCGUCGGCGCAGUCGAGCGGGUGCACACAGACGCUGAUCGGCAUGUCGCCGUGCCUCAACUACAUCACGGGGAACGAGACGGCACCGUCCAAGUCGUGCUGCUCGCAGCUCGCCACGGUGGUGAGCUCCAGGCCCGAGUGCCUCUGUGUCGCGCUCAACGCCGACCCUGUUAGCCCAGAACUACUGCGACCAGAGAGUCGUGGCUAUCUAAUGGUAAUAUUUGCACUCAGCUCACUAGUAACACAUGCACUCACUAGUGCAGCUAAAGACACACACGAGAUACUGGAGUACUACUUGAGCAGAGGAGGAAACUGA